UCGAGAAUAAUUCACAAUGGGGGCAACCCUGAUGGUGCAACGCCGCGUGGAGGAUGACGGUCUUCGGAUUGUAAACUCCUGUCAUCUGGGAGUAAGGCAUGGUUGUUAAUAGCAAACAUGAUUGAUAGUACCAGAAGAGGAAGGGACGGCUAACUUCGUGCCAGCAGCCGCGGUAAUACGAAGGUCCCAAGCGUUGUUCGGAAUCACUGGGCGUAAAGGGAGCGUAGGCGGCGUGGUAAGUCAGAUGUGAAAUCCCGGGGCUCAACCCCGGAACUGCAUCCGAUACUGCCAUGCUAGAGGAUUGGAGAGGUAGCUGGAAUUCUUGGUGUAGCAGUGAAAUGCGUAGAGAUCAAGAGGAACACUCGUGGCGAAAGCGAGCUACUGGACAAUUCCUGACGCUGAGGCUCGAAGGCUAGGGUAGCGAAAGGG
rnacentral:rRNA from 1 species